rnacentral:rRNA from 1 species
AACGAACGCUGGCGGCAUGCCUAACACAUGCAAGUCGAACGAGACCUUCGGGUCUAGUGGCGCACGGGUGCGUAACGCGUGGGAACCUGCCCUUAGGUUCGGAAUAACUCCCCGAAAGGGGUGCUAAUACCGGAUAAUGUCUUCGGACCAAAGAUUUAUCGCCUUUGGAUGGGCCCGCGUUGGAUUAGCUAGUUGGUAGGGUAAAAGCCUACCAAGGCGACGAUCCAUAGCUGGUCUGAGAGGAUGAUCAGCCACACUGGGACUGAGACACGGCCCAGACCCCGCAGGGGGGAGGAGGGGGGGAAUAGUGAAAAAGGGGGGAAGGCCGAACCCAGCAAUCCCGGGGGAGGAAAGAGGGCCUUGGGGUUGAAAAUCUUUUUUCCCGGGGAUAAAAAUGACAGACCGGGGAAAAUAGCCCCGGGCUACCCCCGUC